rnacentral:rRNA from 1 species
GACGAACGCUGGCGGCGUGCUUAACACAUGCAAGUCGAACGGAAAGGCCCUGCUUUUGUGGGGUGCUCGAGUGGCGAACGGGUGAGUAACACGUGAGUAACCUGCCCUUGACUUUGGGAUAACUUCAGGAAACUGGGGCUAAUACCGGAUAGGAGCUCCUGCUGCAUGGUGGGGGUUGGAAAGUUUCGGCGGUUGGGGAUGGACUCGCGGCUUAUCAGCUUGUUGGUGGGGUAGUGGCUUACCAAGGCUUUGACGGGUAGCCGGCCUGAGAGGGUGACCGGCCACAUUGGGACUGAGAUACGACCCGGACUCCUACGGGAGGCAGCAGUGGGGAAUAUUGCACAAUGGGCGGAAGCCUGAUGCAGCAACGCCGCGUGCGGGAUGACGGCCUUCGGGUUGUAAACCGCUUUCGCCUGUGACGAAGCGUGAGUGACGGUAAUGGGUAAAGAAGCACCGGCUAACUACGUG